UUUAAUGAGAGUUUGAUCCUGGCUCAGGACGAACGCUGGCGGCGUGCCUAAUACAUGCAAGUAGAACGCUGAUGUUUGGUGUUUACACUAGACUGAUGAGUUGCGAACGGGUGAGUAACGCGUAGGUAACCUGCCUCAUAGCGGGGGAUAACUAUUGGAAACGAUAGCUAAUACCGCAUAAGAGUAAUUAACACAUGUUAGUUAUUUAAAAGGAGCAAUUGCUUCACUGUGAGAUGGACCUGCGUUGUAUUAGCUAGUUGGUGAGGUAAAGGCUCACCAAGGCG
rnacentral:rRNA from 1 species